rnacentral:rRNA from 1 species
UACGUAGGGGGCAAGCGUUGUCCGGAAUUAUUGGGCGUAAAGAGCUCGUAGGCGGCUUGUCGCGUCGUUCGUGAAAACCUGCAGCUCAACUGCAGGCUUGCGGUCGAUACGGGCAGGCUAGAGUUCGGUAGGGGAGACUGGAAUUCCAGGUGUAGCGGUGAAAUGCGUAGAUAUCUGGAGGAACACCGGUGGCGAAGGCGGCAUCCUGGACCGAUACUGACGCUGAGGAGCGAAAGCCAGGGGAGCAAACGGG